rnacentral:lncRNA from 1 species
AAAAAGCCCUUAGGGGAGAGUUUGAAGCUCAAUCAUUAGACAGCCAUGUCUGUGAAAACCAUUUUAUGAUGGUAAGAAGAAUUUAUAAAUUCUAUUUUUUAAACUCAAAUUAAUUAAUGCUAAUCACAUUAAUCCACUGUUAAUUUAAAAUCUUUGAGUGAAGAUAGAAGCGAAGGAUGUUGAAUGAGCAUAUAUCUUAUGCUUAAAUCGGAAGUACAAA